rnacentral:rRNA from 1 species
UACGGGGGGGGCAAGCGUUGUUCGGAAUUACUGGGCGUAAAGGGCUCGUAGGCGGCCAACUAAGUCAGACGUGAAAUCCCUCGGCUUAGCCGGGGAACUGCGUCUGAUACUGGAUGGCUCGAGUUUGGGAGAGGGAUGCGGAAUUCCAGGUGUAGCGGUGAAAUGCGCAGAUAUCGGGAAGAACACCCGUGGCGAAGGCGGCUCUCUGGGACGGUACUGACGCUGAGACGCGAAAGCGUGGGGAGCGAACAGG